GUAGGUGGCAAGCGUUGUCCGGAAUUAUUGGGCGUAAAGCGCGCGCAGGCGGUUCUUUAAGUCUGAUGUGAAAGCCCACGGGCUCAACCGUGGAGGGUCAUUGGAAACUGGAGAACUUGAGUACAGAAGAGGAAAGCGGAAUUCUACGUGUAGCGGUGAAAUGCGUAGAGAUGUGGAGGAACACCAGUGGCGAAGGCGGCUUUCUGGUCUGUAACUGACGCUGAGGCGCGAAAGCGUGGGGAGCAAACAGGAUUAGAUACCCUGGUAGUCCACGCCGUAAACGAUGAGUGCUAAGUGUUAGGGGGUUUCCGCCCCUUAGUGCUGCAGCUAACGCAUUAAGCACUCCGCCUGGGGAGUACGGCCGCAAGGCUG
rnacentral:rRNA from 1 species